rnacentral:misc_RNA from 1 species
GAUGAAGAACGUAGCGAAAUGCGAUAAGUAAUGUGAAUUGCAGAAUUCAGUGAAUCAUCGAAUCUUUGAACGCACAUUGCGCCCGCCAGUAUUCUGGCGGGCAUGCCUGUCUGAGCGUCAUUUCAACCCUCAUGCCCCUAGGGCGUGGUGUUGGGGAUCGGCCAAAGCCCGCGAGGGACGGCCGGCCCCUAAAUCUAGUGGCGGACCCGUCGUGGCCUCCUCUGCGAAGUAGUGAUAUUCCGCAUCGGAGAGCGACGAGCCCCUGCCGUUGAACCCCCAACUUUCCAAGGUUGACCUCAGAUCAGGUAGGAAUACCCGCUGAACUUAAGCAUAUCAGUAAGCGGAGGA